AAAUCCCCUACCAAUAAAAGUAAAUAUUUUAAAAAGCAUCUCAUUUUGUGAUAAAAAUUGAAUAUGUAAAUUUUAGACGAUAGAACGUAAUAAUUCUGUCGUUUUUUUG
rnacentral:sRNA from 18 species